AGAAGUCCACCACCUGUUUUUGACACCCAACUUAGUGCACCAAUAUCACAUAAUAGCCCAAAAACAACGCCGCACCUACGCGCAAUCUCAAACCCCGCCGCGGGUAACAAUUCUCCCCACACCCAUCAAACUGCAGCGGCGCUGCUUAACGAUUCCAUAAAUUUAAAAUUAAGGCAGCACUGGUGACAAACAAAAACUCCAGAGACAACUACAUAAAAUUCCCCACAAGUUUUGUAUACAAUUUAUGAUUAAAUUCUAACAUCUAAUUACCCCUAAACGGUCCACAAGAUAAACCCAGCAAUCUGUUUUUCCUCUUUUGGGCAGCGACAUACCCGGAUUCAAACAGCGAUAACUUUUAAAAUAUAAUUCCGAAUCGAGCGCAUAAGUACUUGUUGGAAAGGUAAGACAAAGCCCUACAUGAUUCUCAUAAUUAUUAACACUAAUUACCCACGAAACAUUUCUAGAAACUGCUAACACUGCUGCUGUUCGUCCACCUGAAAAAUCUGUUUUUUGGACAGCCACAUACCCGGAUUCAAAUGGCGAUAUCUUUUAAUUUAUAACUCCGAAUUGAGCGCAUAAAUACUCGUUGGAAAGGUAUGCCAAAGUUCUACAUGAUUCCCAAACUGAUUCCCAUUAACUUCCCACGAAAAAACCCAAAAACUGCUAGAAUUAUUGCUGUUCGUCCGCCACCUAAAAUUCUGGACAGCCCCUCUACCCAAUCGCAUACGCCACAUCUAAUCAAUUGGAUUGCAGCACAAAUAAACAAGAGAUAAAAAACAAAAAUCACCUUGGGUUCUCCCCCUUUACUUCCUCCCUUCUUCCCUCCACCGAAAACAAUCGAAGAUUUGCACCACGCGACGUAGAUCUGAGCGGCAACGAAAAGCACCUUGGGAGGAGGAGAUGGGGGGCGGCGGCUAGGGUUUGGUGUGUGGCUGCAAGAGUUUGGAAAAGGAGGAGAUGAGAGGAGGGGGGGGCGGCCAAAGGUGGGGAG
rnacentral:lncRNA from 1 species